rnacentral:rRNA from 1 species
GAUGAACGCUGGCGGCGUGCCUAAUACAUGCAAGUCGAGCGAACAGGUAAGGUGCUUGUUCCUUCGACGUUAGCGGCGGACGGGUGAGUAACACGUGGGUAACCUACCUUUAAGACUGGGAUAACUUCGGGAAACCGAUGCUAAUGCCGGAUAACAUCUUUAAACACAUGGUUCUACAGUGAAAGGUGGCUUUGCUUCACUCAAUAGUUGUACCCGGGUCGAAUUAGCUGUUUGUUAAGGUAACGGCUAACCAAGGCAAGAUUCAGAACCCGACCGGGGAGGGUGAUCGGCAACACGGGAACUGGGACAGGGUCCAGACUCCAACGGAAGGCGGCGGUGGGGAAUCUUCGGCAAUGGGGGAAGGCCUGACGGAGAAACGCCGCGGAGGGGAUGAGGGUCUUCGGAUCUAAAAACUCUGUGAUUGGGAAAGAAGAAGUGCGUAGGUGACUGCGCGCGUCGUGACGGUACCUAAUCAGAAAGCGACGGCUAACUACGUG